GGAUGUGAGGGCGAUCUGGCUGCGACAUCUGUCACCCCAUUGAUCGCCAGGGUUGAUUCGGCUGAUCUGGCUGGCUAGGCGGGUGUCCCCUUCCUCCCUCACCGCUCCAUGUGCGUCCCUCCCGAAGCUGUGCGCUCGGUCGAAGAGGACGACCUUCCCAGAUAGAGGAGUACCGAUCUUCGGUCAAGGGUAUACGAUAGCUGCGCUCCCCUGCUAGAACCUCCAAACAAGCUAAGCUCAAGGUCCAUUUGUAGGAGAACGUAGGGUAGUCAAGCUUCCAAGACUCCAGACACAUCCAAAUGAGGCGCUGCAUGUGGCAGUCUGCCUUUCUUU
ensembl:misc_RNA 7SK 7SK RNA